GGGGUUGUGGCUCAGUGGUAGAGUGCUUGCAUAGCAUGCAUGAGGCCCUGGGUUCGAUCCCCAGCUCCA
rnacentral:tRNA from 1 species